UCUGCUGGCUGGCAGGCAAGGUUGUGACAGGCCAUGCUCUAGCCACCCAAAACUGUGAUAACAUGGAACUAAGUUAAGGGGAUAGACUCACUCCUUUCUACCUUCACCUUGGUUACAACUCACUCCACACUGCUUCCACUUCCAUCUCCAGCAGGUACCCCAGUAUGUACCCGAUUGCAUACAACUUGCACUCUACCCUGGGUCCUGAGCAGUGAUCGCAUGUGCUAGGAGAGCAACAGAUCAGCACACCUAGCUGGCACCCAUUCCAUGCAUUUCGAGGUGAGAGAUACUCUGGAAGGCAUCAAUAGCGUAAUGGGCAGGGAUGGAGGACUUUUGGCCAGCAAACGAUACAAGAUUCAUCAGCUGAGGAGAAGGGCCCGUAGUUCUGCUCCUGACACUCUCCCUUGCUCCAGGGCUGGAACAUCACCUCUCUGAACAAAGUCAGCUACAUCAGCAAAAGUGUUCUUCCAUCAACAUAGCUGCAUUUACACUGAGGGUUUGGUUGGCAUAGCUCUCAGUCAAGGGUAUGUAUUUUUCAUACACCCGGACUGCUGAAGCUAUGUUGAACUAACAUCUAAGUACAGACCAACCCUACAGAGAGGGUGAGUUGUAAUUGUUGUCAGUGCCCCCAGUCUCCCUUAAGCUCUGAAGCAAGACCCCAUGACAAAAGGAGUUGGAGGAGCUGAAUGUGAUGGUAUCAGAAGCUACACUGUCAGUUACAAGCUUCAGCGUCAACAUUAUCAGCUACCAAUUUUAUUUUAAGCAUUCUCAGAAUAUGCUAAUGUAUAUGAGCUAUACACAGAAGCUGAAAGGGCUAUUAAAAAGAUCUGAUGCAAAACAAUGCUGAUAUAGAGUACUAAUUAUUGCUUGAAUGGAGCGCACAGGAAGAACUACCAGCUGGUUGAUGAGCCCUCUUCUCUUUUUAACUUAAUUGUCUCUUGUUUUCAAACAGAUCACCAGAGAUGACAAUCUGUCACAAGACAAAAAUAAAACUGUGUUAUAGAGAAGUUUUAAAAAGUCUGAGCUAUCACGGGAGAAUAAUCAACAGAGUUUGAGGUUUGAAAGUUGACUUCAUUUCUUCUCAUAACACAAGAACUAGGGGUCACCAAAUGAAUAGGCAGCAGGUUUAAAACAAAUAAAAGGAAG